GAUGAACGCUGGCGGCGUGCUAAUACAUGCAAGUAGAACGCUGAAGCUUGGUGCUUGCACCGAGCGGAUGAGUUGCGAACGGGUGAGUAACGCGUAGGUAACCUGCCUCUUAGCGGGGGAUAACUAUUGGAAACGAUAGCUAAUACCGCAUAAAAGUCGAUAUCGCAUGAUAUUGAUUUGAAAGGUGCAAUUGCAUCACUAAGAGAUGGACCUGCGUUGUAUUAGCUAGUUGGUGAGGUAACGGCUCACCAAGGCGACGAUACAUAGCCGACCUGAGAGGGUGAUCGGCCACACUGGGACUGAGACACGGCCCAGACUCCUACGGGAGGCAGCAGUAGGGAAUCUUCGGCAAUGGGGGCAACCCUGACCGAGCAACGCCGCGUGAGUGAAGAAGGUUUUCGGAUCGUAAAGCUCUGUUGUAAGAGAAGAACGAGUGUGAGAGUGGAAAGUUCACACUGUGACGGUAACUUACCAGAAAGGGACGGCUAACUACGUGCCAGCAGCCGCGGUAAUACGUAGGUCCCGAGCGUUAUCCGGAUUUAUUGGGCGUAAAGCGAGCGCAGGCGGUUAGAUAAGUCUGAAGUUAAAGGCUGUGGCUUAACCAUAGUACGCUUUGGAAACUGUUUAACUUGAGUGCAGAAGGGGAGAGUGGAAUUCCAUGUGUAGCGGUGAAAUGCGUAGAUAUAUGGAGGAACACCGGUGGCGAAAGCGGCUCUCUGGUCUGUAACUGACGCUGAGGCUCGAAAGCGUGGGGAGCAAACAGG
rnacentral:rRNA from 1 species